ACUAGGUUGGUACUUCGCACGUCCUUCUCCCGGGAUACCCAAUUUUUUCAAACCCUCCCCUUCUUUGUGGGGGUGUCCACCCUUUAACUGCCCUGGCAUUCUUAUUCGUAGCCGAUUGAGGCACGGUCGUCGGCGCCAUUAUGCCUCCUACGUUCGCAAUAGGCCUUAGUAACCCAAAUUUCCCAGGCAUCCGCCUGUUAAUUCAGUCUCCACUUUAACACCUCGAGUUGGCAUCUUGACGGAAACUUUGACCAACAGAACUUAGCAACACUUCACCAAUCUUACUCGUCACAUCGCCACUUUACGAAUCUCUAUCGAGUCUUAUGGCUAACGCUUCCGUCUAGUGAUUGUUGCAUAACUGCGACUCCCUGCUUUCGCACCCCUCGCUUGUCCUAAUCUAUGGGACCAUCAGGUGC
rnacentral:rRNA from 1 species